rnacentral:lncRNA from 1 species
UUUUGGUUUAUUUUCUUUUUCAUGUUUAUUUAGUAACUAGAAAACUGGACAGAAGCUGGUAAAACAAGUAAGACAAUUUUUUAUAAUUUUUAUAGAGUGAAAAACAACCUAGAAUUUUGGUAGUGCUUUGGUUUAAAUAUAUCCUUCAAAGGUUCAUGCGUGGAGAUGCCUAUACUUUGAGCAAUCAGGAGACUGAUGCAGGAGGAUUGUUCCAUGACUGAGGCUAGCCUGGACUAAAUAGAGAGUACUAGGUCAGCUGAGGUUAUAUAUAAUAAGAAAGUCUUAAAACAAAACAAAAGGCUUGUAUCUUAGCUCAGUGGUAGAGAGCUUGCCUUGCAUAUGUACAUUCUGAAUUCAUUUCUCAGCAUCCCCAGAUUAAAAAGAAGUUAAUGUGCUGGCAGCUGGUGAAGUUUGGUCCUGGUUCUACUUCCUAUUCCCAUGCUCCCAAACACAAGACUCAGAUUCAAAAUAUAUUUACAAAUACUUUGGCCAUAUAGCUAGGCUCUUCUCUGACUAGAAUCAUAACAAGAGAA